rnacentral:rRNA from 1 species
UUCGGUGGCUAUCGCGAGGAGGUCACACCCGUUCCCAUCUCGAACACGGAAGUUAAGCUCCUUUGCGCUGAUGGUACUGCAUGGGCGACUGUGUGGGAGAGUAGGUGCUGCCGGAUUUA